rnacentral:rRNA from 1 species
AGCGAACGCUGGCGGCAGGCCUAACACAUGCAAGUCGAACGAACCUUUCGGGGUUAGUGGCGGACGGGUGAGUAACACGUGGGAACGUGUCUUUAGGUUCGGAAUAACUCAGGGAAACUUGUGCUAAUACCGAAUGUGCCCUUCGGGGGAAAGAUUUAUCGCCUUUAGAGCGGCCCGCGUCUGAUUAGCUAGUUGGUUGAGGUAAUGGCUCACCAAGGCGACGAUCAGUAGCUGGUCUGAGAGGAUGAUCAGCCACAUUGGGACUGAGACACGGCCCAAACUCCUACGGGAGGCAGCAGUGGGGAAUCUUGCGCAAUGGGCGAAAGCCUGACGCAGCCAUGCCGCGUGAAUGAUGAAGGUCUUAGGAUUGUAAAAUUCUUUCACCGGGGACGAUAAUGACGGUACCCGGAGAAGAAGCCCCGGCUAACUUCGUG